rnacentral:tRNA from 1 species
GCCUCUGCGGCCUAAUGGAUAAGUCAUCGGCCUCCUAAGCCGGGGAUUGUGGGUUCGAGUCCCACCAGAGGUA